UUUUUACAAUGAUGAAAAAACCAUUCAUUUAAUACAGUUAUCCCUGUCUUAAAUAUAAUGUCGAGAAACUAUAAUCUGAAAGCAAA
rfam:Pichia membranifaciens DNA, contig: CON151, strain: KS47-1.